AGAACCUUCAAAUACAUUUCAAUUUGUAUUGAAAUUCAUAUGAAAUGGAAAUCCAAAACGAGUAUGAGCCUCCGAAACCAAAGGGCAGGUGGGCCCGGCUGAUGCAAAUGGUUGACCGCUCGAAGAAAAUACGAUACAGUUCGAUCAGAGAGGCACGCCGAGCAGUAUUAAAUUUCUUUAUCUAUGUAAUAUUUCUGGCACUGGCAUCAGUUGUGACACAGACAACCAACAAUGUUCCCAUGUACUAUUUAAACGAUGCUAUGCACAGGCAGGUUAUAGGUCGUCGGGUGCCUAUGGAGCCUGGAUUGAUUAGCAAAUAUACGGAUAUCGACUCAUUGGAUAGGUAUUGGGACUUCGUUCUGUACACGUUCCUACCAUUGCUCUCUUCAGGCGACUUUAAGUCGACCGAUAAAGAGUCCAUCUGGGAGUUCACCAAUGAGACAAAUCAGUUCAAUGGGAUCUAUGGCGACAUCUACAAUCGAGUCAUACUGCAUGGAAAUGUGCUGCUCGGACCCCCACGUUUUAGGCAGAUUAUGGUGGAGAGGGGUCACUGUAAAAAGUGUGCCCCCUUCACGAAACACAUGGACACCUGCUAUGCUCCCUACACGUGGUCCAAUGAGCGCCGCUCGGACUACCGCGGCACCAAGUGGGUCGGCAUGUGGGCGGACGGUGCGUUGCCGAUCAUUGGCGAGAUUGAAGUCUAUUUGGGCGCCGGCUAUAUAAAGAGCCUCAGCUAUGACAAUGAAUUUAACUUUCGCCUAGUUAAACACUUACGCGACACCAAAUGGAUCGGUCGCUCCACACGGAUUGUCCUAAUCGAGCUUAGUUUGUUUCACGUCAACACUCGCCUCUUCGAGAGCGUCAAGUUAAAGGUAGAGCGUCCAGCCACUGGUGGACUUGUACCCAGCUAUUCUUUGCGAUCACUGCGACAGGAAACUUUCUUUACCGAUUCCAACUGGGCUAUUCAAAUUGUAGUCUGUAGCUACUAUCUGAUGGUCGUGCUGUUUACCUUUAGAGAGAUUCGAAUUAUAAAAAAAACUGGUUUUUGUAAAUAUAUCCGCAAUACGAUCAAUUUAGCGGACUUCACGUGCUAUGUGUGUUCAUACAUAAUACUGUUGAUCCACGUGGAACGUUUCUUCUAUCUUAGCAGCAUCAUGAAUAUUAUAAAGACAUCCGAUAGAUAUAUUAAUCUUGACUGGGCUUCUAUAGUUGCCGUCAUAUACAACAAUAUAGCUGCAAUCACUAUUUUUUUGGCCUGGAUUCGUAUAUUAAGCUUUUUGGUCUUUAAUCGGACAUUGGUUAUAUUUGUGAAUGUCGUCCGUGAGAGCACCAGCGAAAUGGUUGGCUUUCUUUUAAUGUUCAUUGCCGUGGGCAUGGCCUACGCCGAGUGUGGCAUGACAUUUUUUGGGCACAACGAUAAACAGUUUUACAAUCUAGAAUCUUCAUUGCUGACCAUGGUGAGCUUGGUCGUGGGCGAAUUCAGGUUCGAUAGCUUCAAGGUUAAAGAGACGAAAACCAGGAUUUAUUUCAUGUCAUUCGUGAUUAUUGUGUAUGCCUUGCUGUUGUUCGCCUUCCUGGCCAUCAUCAACUGCACGUACGAUGAGAUCCAAGCCUCUAUGAAGACACGCGCCUUCAAAUUGGGUCUAGUCAUUCGUUUGUUCUUCCGGAGCCUAUACGAUCUGAUCUACUACAUCUUCUGUGGCAAGCGCAAGAAACGCGUAAAACAUGACAAGGACAUGAAGAGUGAACUGGCCACCGAUCAGCGCAUCGAUCCCCAAGAGGCAGCCCAGCGGGCUGCCAUGCGCCGGCACUUGCUCCAAAAUCCGGUCACCCUGACACAGACUGAAUACCUGCCCAGACGCAUAGAAUGUGCUGCAAAGCGCGUUAAAGCUUUGGAAGAGGUAACUGGCCCAGUGCUAAAGCGCCUCAUUGGCUACUAUAACACGUUUCGCCGCGAACAAGACCAAGAGUAAACAUAGAUAUUUCUGGCCUAAGAGGAGCUUAGCUAAGCCCAACUUUUAUAUGAGUGAUGUGCAUCUCCUGAUAAAACAUAGCCAUAAAGUAAUCGUUCGUGUGUCUAUAAAUACUUGGAUGUGGCAACACUCUCACAUUAGUUUGGGCUUUACCAUUCGCGCUGCUGUUAAGGGACAGCAGGCUGUUAGUUAA